rnacentral:lncRNA from 1 species
GUAACGCAUCAGUGGUAGGUCUCCCCCUGCUCCACCCCUUUCUCUUACGAAUGAGGACAAGGAAGAAAAUGCAGGCAAAGGAAACCCAACCAUACCUUCGUGCAGGUGGAGUAAAAAUAGAAGUAGCAGUCGACUCCUCGCUGAGACAUGAUGAAAUUCUCAGAGCAAGCUCGGCUUCAGAGGAGUUCCCUGCUCUUGGAAAGAGCCGGACGCCCUCCUUCUUGGACUGCUUGGAUCCGCAAAAUCGCCUUUCCGACCGGGACCCUGAGGAAAGGGUCAAGAACCGGAAAAGAAUGAGGAAUAAGCAUUUCCCCAGCUUUCCUUUUAUGCAAUUUAGACUCUCGAGGAGGGCAGCGUCUCGGAAGCAGCUGGUUGAAGAACUGUGCCAACUCUAGAUCCAACUUGCGUCUAACUGCCACGACCUCUCCCAGCAAGUACUGUCCUCCAUCUCACCUACAGUUACGUAACUUGCAGCACACAUUUUGCGUUCCUGUCAUGAGAAUGAAUCCAUCUUCUCCCCUUGCUGCAGCUGCAAGGGAUGCACUGCUAACACACCAGCCCGAUGGCUGAGCAACACCGUCAGCGAGAGCGGGCAGCACCCGUCAGCCACCACCACUCUCACUGCCAGCCGGGACGAGGGCUGACGCAGCGUGUCCGCACUCCUGCGCAGCGCUCACGGCUGUGGCACUCACUGGUGGCAGCCACGGCCCGAAAGACAGUGCUUGUGAGGUCACUGUGCUUGUGAUGUCACCGGACAGUCCAUGCCCCAGCUGAGCACUUGGCUCUCCACCGUGACUCGAGUGGGGUUUUGUUAAAAAUAUGCUGGAUACGGCACAGCCAGCCAUCGGUGGGUCAAUAAAGCACAAGUUGCACUCUGUGAAGUCUGUGCUCUUCUUCCUUUGGAAUGUCU